UUCCGUAGGUGAACCUGCGGAGGGAUCAUUACAAGUGACCCCGGUCUAACCACCGGGAUGUUCAUAACCCUUUGUUGUCCGACUCUGUUGCCUCCGGGGCGACCCUGCCUUCGGGCGGGGGCUCCGGGUGGACACUUCAAACUCUUGCGUAACUUUGCAGUCUGAGUAAACUUAAUUAAUAAAUUAAAACUUUUAACAACGGAUCUCUUGGUUCUGGCAUCGAUGAAGAACGCAGCGAAAUGCGAUAAGUAAUGUGAAUUGCAGAAUUCAGUGAAUCAUCGAAUCUUUGAACGCACAUUGCGCCCCCUGGUAUUCCGGGGGGCAUGCCUGUUCGAGCGUCAUUUCACCACUCAAGCCUCGCUUGGUAUUGGGCAUCGCGGUCCGCCGCGUGCCUCAAAUCGACCGGCUGGGUCUUCUGUCCCCUAAGCGUUGUGGAAACUAUUCGCUAAAGGGUGUUCGGGAGGCUACGCCGUAAAACAACCCCAUUUCUAAGGUUGACCUCGGAUCAGGUAGGGAUACCCGCUGAACUUAAGCAUAUCAAUAAGCGGAGGAAAU
rnacentral:rRNA from 1 species